GACGAACGCUGGCGGCGUGCUUAACACAUGCAAGUCGAACGGAAAGGCCCUGCUUUUGUGGGGUGCUCGAGUGGCGAACGGGUGAGUAACACGUGAGUAACCUGCCCUUGACUUUGGGAUAACUUCAAGAAACUGGGGCUAAUACCGGAUAGGAGCUCCUGCUGCACGGUGGGGGUUGGAAAGUUUCGGCGGUUGGUGAUGGACUCGCGGCUUAUCAGCUUGUUGGUGGGGUAGUGGCUUACCAAGGCUUUGACGGGUAGCCGGCCUGAGAGGGUGACCGGCCACAUUGGGACUGAUAUACCGCCCAGACUCAUACGGGAGGCAGCAGUGGGGAAUAUUGCACAAUGGGCGGAAGCCUGAUGCAGCAACGCCGCGUGCGGGAUGACGGCCUUCGGGUUGUAAACCGCUUUCGCCUGUGACGAAGCGUGAGUGACGGUAAUGGGUAAAGAAGCACCGGCUAACUACGUG
rnacentral:rRNA from 1 species